AACGGCAGAGUCUGAGCAAUGGCUGCGGCUAAACAAACAGUCAUCUGCGGUAAGAUGUUUUCUUAGCAAGUGGAAGGAUAACAAAUGUGCCAGUACCUUCACAUAAUAAACGACAAUGAUUUUAUAGACGGGCACGAAGACAGACCGACAUCACUGAGUGAAAGGAUGAAACGCCCUUGAAUGUGGCAGCGGUGCAGGUAAUGAGUCCCGAAAUUCUCAAAAUGGAGAAAAUAGAAAUGGAGGCCAAACCUGCAGAUGUGAAUGGCAGUGAUGUGAAUGAUGGAGCAUCUACACAGAAAAGAUGCUGGAAUCCAGAAAUGUCUUCACCUGGGGCCUACUGGGGAUGGCAAUAAUAACCAAACCAAAAAUUAACCAAGCUGUGGGAAUACAAACCUGUAG